rnacentral:tRNA from 1 species
GCGGGCGUAGCUCAGUGGUAGAGCGUCAGCUUUCCAAGCUGAAGACGGGGGUUCGAUUCCUUCCGCCCGCU